GGGGCCUUAGCUCAGCUGGGAGAGCACUUCGCUGGCAGUGAAGGGGUCAGCGGUUCGAUCCCGCUAGGCUCCACCA
rnacentral:tRNA from 1 species